UGGAUGGGGUAGCAAGGUGAAUGGGAGAUGAGGGGCGAAACAUGGCUUUGGAGAAAUGACAAAGAGCUGGAGACAGGGACUGAGUCAGUGGAUCAUGACACUGGGAUUUAAUUUGAUUCUCAAGGAACAUGCCAUCCACAUGCUUCUGACUAUAAUGAAGCUCUGUGGCAGAGAGAAAAAGCUAUAUCUGGAUACAUUCCAACCAGAAGAGAGGCUCAGAGCUAUACACUGCAGAAUUUGAGACCAUGAG